UAAGCAUAUCAAUAAGCGGAGGAAAAGAAACCAACAGGGAUUGCCUUAGUAACGGCGAGUGAAGCGGCAAUAGCUCAAAUUUGAAAGCUGGCCCCUUCGGGGUCCGCGUUGUAAUUUGUAGAGGAUGAUUCGGCGAGGGCUCCCGUCUAAGUCCCUUGGAACAGGGCGUCAUAGAGGGUGAGAAUCCCGUAUGUGAUGGGCUGCCUUAGCCAUGUGAAUCUCCUUCGACGAGUCGAGUUGUUUGGGAAUGCAGCUCUAAAUGGGAGGUAAAUUUCUUCUAAAGCUAAAUACCGGCCAGAGACCGAUAGCGCACAAGUAGAGUGAUCGAAAGAUGAAAAGCACUUUGGAAAGAGAGUUAAAAAGUACGUGAAAUUGUUGAAAGGGAAGCGCUUGCAGCCAGACUUGUCCGCAGUUGCUCAGCUUGUCUCCUGACAGGCGUACUCUUCUGCGGCCAGGCCAGCAUCAGUUCGGGCGGUCGGAUAAAGGCCCGGGGAAUGUAGCUCCUCUCGGGGAGUGUUAUAGCCCCGGGUGCAAUGCGGCCAGCCUGGACUGAGGAUCUCGCUUCGGCUAGGAUGCUGGCGUAAUGGCUGUAAGCGGCCCGUCUUGAAACACGGACCAAGGAGUCUAACAUCUAUGCGAGUGUUUGGGUGUCAAACCCAUGCGCGUAAUGAAAGUGAACGGAUGUGGGAACCCUCACGGGUGCACCAUCGACCGAUCCUGAUGUCUUCGGAUGGAUUUGAGUAAGAGCAUAGCUGUUGGGACCCGAAAGAUGGUGAACUAUGCCUGAAUAGGGUGAAGCCAGAGGAAACUCUGGUGGAGGCUCGCAGCGGUUCUGACGUGCAAAUCGAUCGUCAAAUUUGGGUAUAGGGGCGAAAGACUAAUCGAACCAUCUAGUAGCUGGUUCCUGCCGAAGUUU
rnacentral:rRNA from 1 species